rnacentral:rRNA from 1 species
GGGGCAGCAUGGUCUUAGCUUGCUAAGGCCGAUGGCGACCGGCGCACGGGUGAGUAACACGUAUCCAACCUGCCGUCUACUCUUGGACAGCCUUCUGAAAGGAAGAUUAAUACAAGAUGGCAUCAUGAGUCCGCAUGUUCACAUGAUUAAAGGUAUUCCGGUAGACGAUGGGGAUGCGUUCCAUUAGAUAGUAGGCGGGGUAACGGCCCACCUAGUCUUCGAUGGAUAGGGGUUCUGAGAGGAAGGUCCCCCACAUUGGAACUGAGACACGGUCCAAACUCCUACGGGAGGCAGCAGUGAGGAAUAUUGGUCAAUGGGCGAGAGCCUGAACCAGCCAAGUAGCGUGAAGGAUGACUGCCCUAUGGGUUGUAAACUUCUUUUAUAAAGGAAUAAAGUCGGGUAUGGAUACCCGUUUGCAUGUACUUUAUGAAUAAGGAUCGGCUAACUCCGUGCCAGCAGCCGCGGUAAUACGGAGGAUCCGAGCGUUAUCCGGAUUUAUUGGGUUUAAAGGGAGCGUAGAUGGAUGUUUAAGUCAGUUGUGAAAGUUUGCGGCUCAACCGUAAAAUUGCAGUUGAUACUGGAUAUCUUGAGUGCAGUUGAGGCAGGCGGAAUUCGUGGUGUAGCGGUGAAAUGCUUAGAUAUCACGAAGAACUCCGAUUGCGAAGGCAGCCUGCUAAGCUGCAACUGAC